rnacentral:sRNA from 1 species
AUGCGGGCUGUGUCAACCGGACACGAGGGAGAUGGAGAACGCGGAGAUUUUUCCGGUUUCUCUUCGCGGCCAACGAAACGGCAGUCGAGCUCCCCACCUCUCCGGUCC